rnacentral:rRNA from 1 species
GAUGAACGCUGGCGGCCUGUUUAAGACAUGCAAGUCGAGCGAAGCACUUUUGCGGAUUUCCUCGGAUUGAAGCAAUUGUGACUGAGCGGCGGACGGGUGAGUAACGCGUGGGUAACCUGCCUCAUACAGGGGGAUAACAGUUGGAAACGGCUGCUAAUACCGCAUAAGCGCACAGUACCGCAUGGUAUUGUAUGAAAAACUCCGGUGGUAUGAGAUGGACCCGCGUCUGAUUAGGUAGUUGGUGGGGUAACGGCCUACCAAGCCGACGAUCAGUAGCCGACCUGAGAGGGUGACCGGCCACAUUGGGACUGAGACACGGCCCAAACUCCUACGGGAGGCAGCAGUGGGGAAUAUUGCACAAUGGGGGAAACCCUGAUGCAGCGACGCCGCGUGAGCGAUGAAGUAUUUCGGUAUGUAAAGCUCUAUCAGCAGGGAAGAAAAUGACGGUACCUGACUAAGAAGCCCCGGCUAACUACGUGCCAGCAGCCGCGGUAAUACGUAGGGGGCAAGCGUUAUCCGGAUUUACUGGGUGUAAAGGGAGCGUAGACGGCAUGGCAAGCCAGAUGUGAAAGCCCGGGGCUCAACCCCGGGACUGCAUUUGGAACUGUCAGGCUAGAGUGUCGGAGAGGAAAGCGGAAUUCCUAGUGUAGCGGUGAAAUGCGUAGAUAUUAGGAGGAACACCAGUGGCGAAGGCGGCUUUCUGGACGAUGACUGACGUUGAGGCUCGAAAGCGUGGGGAGCAAACAGG